rnacentral:lncRNA from 10 species
UUUUUGUUAAGACAGGAAACACAUUUAUUGAGAGCACAGUGGGGUGCGCCAAGCCCUGUGCUUUGGAACCGCAUCACAGCGCCCCUCACAACAGCCCUGUGAGGUAGGUGAAGGAGCCCACUUCCCACAUGCAGACACUGAAGGCAACAGAAGCAGAAAAAGCAGGGACUCAAGGAGCCAGGUUAAAGGGCUGCCCCUACACUCAAGGGAGCAACGAGACCCCUCUGCCGGUGCCUCAGAAAAGUCCAGAAACCCAAGCAGGAUGGGGACGUGGGGAGUUAACUUUUGA